ensembl:snRNA LOC120102121 U4 spliceosomal RNA
AGCUUUGAGCGGUGGCAGCAUCGUAGCCAAUGAGGUUUAUCCGAGGGGCGGUUAUUGCUAACUGAAAACUUUUCCCAAUACCCCCACCAUGACGGCUUGAAAUACAGUCGGCAUUUGCAACUUUUGACAGUCUCUACGGAGA